CUACGGAGGGUGCAAGCGUUACUCGGAAUCACUGGGCGUAAAGCGCGCGCAGGCGGCUUGGUAAGUUGGAUGUGAAAGCCUACGGCUCAACCGUAGAACUGCAUCCAAAACUGUCAAGCUAGAGUGUGGGAGAGGAAGAUGGAAUUAGUUGUGUAGGGGUAAAAUCCGUAGAGAUAACUAGGAAUACCAAAAGCGAAGGCAAUCUUCUGGAACACUACUGACGCUGAGGCGCGAAAGCGUGGGGAGCAAACAGGAUUAGAAACCCUAGUAGUCC
rnacentral:rRNA from 1 species